CCGUCCGGUUAGCUCAAUAGGUAGAGCGUUGGACUGUGAAUCGAGCGACCCGGGUUCGAUUCCCGGACGACGCA